CCUACGGGAGGCAGCCGUGAGGAAUAUUGGUCAAUGGGCGAGAGCCUGAACCAGCCAAGUCGCGUGAGGGAGUACUGCCCUAUGGGUUGUAAACCUCUUUUGUCGGGGAGCAAAAGCCGGACGUGUCCGGCUGUGAGAGUUCCCGAAGAAAAAGCAUCGGCUUACCCCGUGCCAGCAGCCGCGGUAAUACGGAGGUGGCAAGCGUUGUCCGGAUUUACUGGGUGUAAAGGGCGUGUAGCCGGGUUGACAAGUCAGAUGUGAAAUCCUGCGGGCUAACCGGAGAACUGCAUUUGAAACUGUUGAUCUUGAGUACUGGAGAGGCAGAUGGAAUUCCUGGUGUAGCGGUGAAAUGCGUAGAUAUUAGGAGGAACACCAGUGGCGAAGGCAGUCUGCUGGACAGCAACUGACGGUGAGGCGCGAAAGCGUGGGGAGCAAACAGGAUUAGAUACCCCUGUAGUC
rnacentral:rRNA from 1 species